rnacentral:rRNA from 1 species
CAGAGGUGGCAAGCGUUGUUCGGAUUUACUGGGCGUAAAGGGUCCGUAGGCGGUUCGGUUAGUCAAAUGUGAAAGCCCACAGCUCAACUGUGGAACUGCAUUUGAAACUGCCGAGCUAGAGUAUGAGAGGGGUUAAGGGAAUUCCCGGUGUAAGGGUGAAAUCUGCAGAGAUCGGGAGGAACACCAGUCGCGAAGGCGCUUAACUGGCUCAUUACUGACGCUCAGGGACGAAAGCUAGGGUAGCAAACGGGAUUAGAUACCCCGGUAGUCCUAGCCGUAAACUAUGGUCACUAGGUGUUGGGAGGGUUAAACCUUUCAGUGCCGUCGCUCACGCAUUAAGUGACCCGCCUGGGGAGUACGGUCGCAAGGCUG